rnacentral:tRNA from 1 species
ACCUAAGUGGUUAAGGCAAUGGACUGGAAAUCCAUAGGGGACUCCCUUCAUAGGUUCAAAUCCUAU